GCAACUUUCUGCCAGCACUAGCAUGGCUAGCAGAGCAGGGCUUGUUUAAACCCUCUGCAAGGUAAUAUGAUAGCUGCCUGGGCUGUGGUCAUUCUUGGAGGCCUGGCUGGGGAACGAAUCAACCAUAGUGCAUGAAUUACAAGAAGAAUGUUGUUGGUGUCAAUUACCUGCACUCUCUGAACUGUCUUUACAGAUCUGAGAGUAUGGCAUUUAACAAAAGACCUUCCUUCUAACAAAGAGACACGCCAGCUCCUGCAGCAUCCCAUAGCUCCUCCAAAGAUGCAUGGUUGCAAAAGACCGUCUACCUGGAGGCUUGUCUUUGGUUAUGGCAAAGCCACCCACACA